UAAACCACGAUAGGUCACGAUUUCUGGAAUGGAUCAUGGCUUAAAUCUACAUGGCCCCUGGAUUGGACUGCGGCCGAUCAGGCUGUUGGUGAGGUAAUGGCCCACCAAACCUAUAACCGGUACGGGCUCUGAGAGGAGAAGCCCGGAGAUGGGCACUGAGACAAGGGCCCAGGCCCUAUGGGGCGCAGCAGGCGCGAAACCUCUGCAAUAGGCGAAAGCCUGACAGGGUUACUCUGAGUGAUUUCCGCUAAGGGGAUCUUUUGGCACCUCUAAAAAUGGUGCAGAAUAAGGGGUGGGCAAGUCUGGUGUCAGCCGCCGCGGUAAUACCAGCACCCCGAGUGGUCGGGACGAUUAUUGGGCCUAAAGCAUCCGUAGCCGGUUCUGCAAGUCUUCCGUUAAAUCCAGCCGCUCAACGGAUGGGCCGCGGAGGAUACUACAGGACUAGGAGGCGGGAGAGGCAAGCGGUACUCAGUGGGUAGGGGUAAAAUCCUUUGAUCCAUUGAAGACCACCAGUGGCGAAGGCGGCUUGCCAGAACGCGCUCGACGGUGAGGGAUGAAAGCUGGGGGAGCAAACCGGAUUAGAUACCCGGGUAGUCCCAGCUGUAAACGAUGCAGACUCGGUGAUGGGCUAGCCUUGUGCCAGCCCAGUGCCGCAGGGAAGCCGUUAAGUCUGCCGCCUGGGGAGUACGGUCGCAAGACUGA
rnacentral:rRNA from 1 species